CUUUAGUUACAAAUUGGUUAUGUUGUAUAUUAAACAGUCUAUCAGACUAUUUUUUGAUAUUCAUUAUUUAUACGUCAUUACACGGCUCUAUUAAAUGCUAUUAAAUUAUCCUCAUCCAUUGGGAGUGUCAUUGUUAAGGCAGUAGUACCCGCAAAUAACCAAUAGGUGUCAGUAAACUAUGUAAACAGAGCAAAUAAGUUUAUUUGCUCUGUUUACAUUUAAUCAACACAUUUAAUUAAGUGUAGCAAGGUAACAAAGAGGGGCGGGGUCUCUAACCCUAUUACAGAUUGCCAAUAAGCCGCGCUUAUUUAAAGGACAGGCGAAAGCGAAGGGCGGCUGGGGUCCUGUUAGCAAUUGCCCGUUGUUCGGCUUGUAGCUGUGUGGGACCAUUAGUCCCGGUAUAUUUCCCCCGGUAUAAGUAUUUUACUGUUUUUAGCAUGUGAUAGUUUGAAACUCAGGAUCAUUGUGGAUUUGUUUUGCCAAGAAUGUGGGUUUGAUGUUCGGGACCACCGUGCAGUUGGCUGGUUGGUUUCGUUUCGUUAAGGUAUGUUUAAUUGUUAUUUGGUUUGUUUAUUUGAUUGUGACUGGUAAUAAUUAAAUGGCCUAUUUCGUUAUAGGUUGUUGGAUGAUAGUGACUAGUCGCUGUUCUCUUUUGGGUUUUCUUUUUUGUAAAAUUGACUGCUCCCUGUGGUGAAUGUAUGUUAAAUCCCUAGCCAGCUGGUGUUUUGUUUCUUUUCGAAUUAAGUUUGUGUAAUUUGGUUUAAUGGUUGGCUAGGGGAUUUUUAUUUUUAUUUUUCCGUUCUCUUUUUAAGUACAUUUGAUUUUCUGUGUCUUCCUGUACCCUUUGGGUAUACCCCUUGGGUAGCUUCCCACCAAUUUGUGGGGAAUCAGAGACGGGGAUUGAUAGAGCCCCAACAGGUUUUGUGUGCUUAAUUGUGUGAUGUAUUGAUAUUGAGGGUGCAUUAUUAAUGAUUUGUGGUGGGUUUAUGGGGCGGAAAUUGCUGUGCUCAUACAGUUUGCAGUGAAACUACUCUCCCUGUAGGAAGCUCUACUAUCUUUUGUCUGCUGAGUAUACCAUCUGAAGGAGGCUGCUCUGGGGGGCUGUGUCCGGUCAGGGUGAACGACCCAAAUUAUUUUUAUGUUCUGUUAAAUAAAGUUUAAUGUGUUUUCUA